rnacentral:rRNA from 2 species
UGGGAAAUCUGCCGAGUAGCGGGGGACAACGUUUGGAAACGAACGCUAAUACCGCAUAACAAUGAGAAUCGCAUGAUUCUUAUUUAAAAGAAGCAAUUGCUUCACUACUUGAUGAUCCCGCGUUGUAUUAGCUAGUUGGUAGUGUAAAGGACUACCAAGGCGAUGAUACAUAGCCGACCUGAGAGGGUGAUCGGCCACACUGGGACUGAGACACGGCCCAGACUCCUACGGGAGGCAGCAGUAGGGAAUCUUCGGCAAUGGGGGCAACCCUGACCGAGCAACGCCGCGUGAGUGAAGAAGGUUUUCGGAUCGUAAAACUCUGUUGUUAGAGAAGAACGUUAAGUAGAGUGGAAAAUUACUUAAGUGACGGUAUCUAACCAGAAAGGGACGGCUAACUACGUGCCAGCAGCCGCGGUAAUACGUAGGUC